UACAGAGGUCCCCAAGCGUUGUUCGGAUUCACUGGGCGUAAAGGGUGCGUAGGUGGUGAGGUAAGUCGGAUGUGAAAUCUCCGAGCUCAACUCGGAAACUGCAUUGGAAACUACCUUGCUCGAGGGUUGGAGGGGGGACUGGAAUGCUUGGUGUAGCAGUGAAAUGCGUAGAUAUCAAGCGGAACACCAGUGGCGAAGGCGGAGUCCCUGGACAACUCCUGACACUGAUGCACGAAAGCUAGGGGAGCAAACAGG
rnacentral:rRNA from 1 species